rnacentral:rRNA from 1 species
AGUAAUGUCUGGGAAACUGCCUGAUGAGGGGGAGUAAUACUGAACGGUAGCUAAUACCGCAUAACGUCGCAAGACCAAAGUGGGGGACCUUCGGGCCUCAUGCCAUCAGAUGUGCCCAGAUGGGAUUAGCUAGUAGGUGGGGUAACGGCUCACCUAGGCGACGAUCCCUAGCUGGUCUGAGAGGAUGACCAGCCACACUGGAACUGAGACACGGUCCAG